AUGAACGCUAGCGGCAGGCUUAAUACAUGCAAGUCGAACGGCAGCACGGGUAGCAAUAUCUGGUGGCGAGUGGCGAACGGGUGCGUAACGCGUAUGCAAUCUACCUUUAACUGGUGAAUAGCCCGAAGAAAUUCGGAUUAAUACACCAUAGUAUAGUAAAGUGGCAUCACUUAACUAUUAAAACUCCGGUGGUUAAAGAUGAGCAUGCGUGACAUUAGCUAGUUGGUGAGGUAAUGGCUCACCAAGGCAACGAUGUCUAGGGGAUCUGAGAGGAUUAACCGCCACACUGGUACUGAGAUACGGACCAGACUCCUACGGGAGGCAGCAGUAAGGAAUAUUGGACAAUGGUCGCAAGACUGAUCCAGCCAUGCCGCGUGAAGGAUGAAGGCUCUAUGGGUUGUAAACUUCUUUGGUACGGGAAAAAAAACUCUACGUGUAGAGGAUUGAGUGUACUGUAAGAAUAAGGAUCGGCUAACUCCGU
rnacentral:rRNA from 1 species